GGGAACGUAUUCACGGUGAUGUGCUGACUCACCGUUACUAGCGAUUCCGACUUCAAGCAGGCGAGUUUCAGCCUGCUAUCCGAACUGGGACCGGCUUUGAUGGGAUUUGCUCCGUCUCGCGACUUGGCUGCCCUUUGUACCGGCCAUUGUAGCGUGUUUCUAGCCCAGGGUGUAAGGGUAAUACUGACCUGACAUCAUCCCCUCCUUCCUCCCCGUUACCGGGGCAGUCUAGCCAGAGAAAUCCAACUGACUAAAAGGGUUGCGCUCGUUGAUGGACUUAACCAAACAUCUCACGACACGAGCUGACGACGGCCAUGCAACACCUGUCACCGAGUUCCUUGCGGCACAGUUUCCUUUCGGAAGCCUUCUCGGGAUGUCAAACCCUG
rnacentral:rRNA from 1 species